rnacentral:rRNA from 1 species
AAACUAACAAGGAUUCCCCUAGUAACUGCGAGUGAAGCGGGAAAAGCUCAAAUUUAAAAUCUGGCGGUCUUUGGCCGUCCGAGUUGUAAUCUAGAGAAGUGUUACCCGCGUCGGACCGUGUACAAGUCUCCUGGAAUGGAGCGUCAUAGAGGGUGAGAAUCCCGUCUUUGACACGGACUACCGAGGCUUUGUGGUGCGCUCUCAAAGAGUCGAGUUGUUUGGGAAUGCAGCUCAAAAUGGGUGGUAAAUUCCAUCUAAAGCUAAAUAUUGGCGAGAGACCGAUAGCGAACAAGUACCGUGAGGGAAAGAUGAAAAGAACUUUGGAAAGAGAGUUAAACAGUACGUGAAAUUGCUGAAAGGGAAACGCUUGAAGUCAGUCGCGUUGUCCGGGAAUCAGCCUUCCUUCUGGUUGGUGUACUUCCUGGUUGACGGGCCAGCAUCAGUUUUGACCGGUGGAAAAAGUUCGAGGGAAUGUGGCACCUCCGGGUGUGUUAUAGCCCUCGUUCGUAUACAUCGGUUGGGACUGAGGAACUCAGCACGCCGCAAGGCCGGGAUUCGUCCACGUUCGUGCUUAGGAUGCUGGCAUAAUGGCUUUAAUCGAC